GGAUCCAUGACGCAAUGGCAACAUGUCUAACUCUAGAUCAGAAGGUUGUGUGUUCAAUUCACAUCGCGUUCA
rnacentral:tRNA from 1 species